CUACGGGCCGCUGCAGUGAGGAAUCUUGCGCAAUGGGGGAAACCCUGACGCAGCGACGCCGCGUGGGUGAUGAAGGCCUUCGGGUCGUAAAGCCCUGUCGAGAGGGAAGAAUUGCAUUUAGGUUAAUAGCCUAAUUGUUUGACGGUACCUCCAAAGGAAGCACCGGCUAACUCCGUGCCAGCAGCCGCGGUAAUACGGAGGGUGCAGGCGUUGUUCGGAAUCACUGGGCGUAAAGGGCGUGUAGGCGGCUGGGUAAGCAGGUGUGAAAUCCCUCGGCUCAACCGGGGAAGUGCAUUUGAUACUGGUCAUCUUGAGUACUGGAGAGGGAGAUGGAAUUCCCGGUGUAGGGGUGAAAUUCGUAGAUAUCGGGAGGAACACCAGUGGCGAAGGCGAUCUCCUGGACAGAUACUGACGCUAAGGCGCGAAAGCGUGGGGAGCAAACAGGAUUAGAUACCCCUGUAGUC
rnacentral:rRNA from 1 species